rnacentral:rRNA from 1 species
CCUACGGGAGGCAGCAGUGGGGAAUAUUGCACAAUGGGGGGAACCCUGAUGCAGCAACGCCGCGUGGGUGAAGAAGUACUCCGGUAUGUAAAGCCCUGUCAGCAGGGAAGAAAAUGACGGUACCUGACCAAGCAUCCCCGGCUAACUACGGGCCAGCAACCCCGGUAAUACGUAGGGGGCAAGCCUUAUCCGGAUUUAAUGGGUGUAAAGGGAGCGUAGGGGGCAAGGCAAGUCUGAUGUGAAAGCCACGGGCUCAACCACGGGACUGCAUUGGAACCUGUGUUGCUGGAGUGCAGGAGGGGCAAGCGGAAUUCCGGGUGUAGCGGUGAAAUGCGUAGAUAUUAGGAGGAACACCGGUGGCGAAGGCGGCUUACUGGACAGUAACUGACGUUGAGGCGCGAAGGCGUGGGGAGCAAACAGGAUUAGAUACCCGAGUAGUC